GCCUCCUGCGUGGAAAAGAGAAGGAAGCCCGAGGUGGUGGCGCUGCGUCUCUCAGUUGCAGUGUGAGGUAUGAGACACCACACCUAGCCCUGAAGCUGCUCUUGGUUGGGGGUCAUCCCACACCUAAGAAAGAAAGAUGAUGGCUCUAAAGAAGAUGAAAAAGUCAUUGGUGUCAAUCAACUCUAGGCUCCAACUCAUUAUGAAAGGCAGAAAGUAGGCUGGGCACCGUGGCUCACGCCUGUAAUCCCAGCACUUUGGGAGGCCGAGGCAGGUGGAUCAUGAGGUCAAGAGAUCGAAACCAUCCUGGCCAAUGUGGUGAAACACCAUCUCCACUAAAAAUACAAAAAUAAGCUGGGCG
rnacentral:lncRNA from 10 species